GAGCAGCAAGCCAGGGCCUAGCCAUGAAUUCAAUUCGGGUGUUUGGAGAUUAGUAGCAGGCUGGGAGUGGAAGUGUGGUGGCGGGGCUGAUCCUGGACUAAAUGACUGGGAGUGGGUGAAAGGACCCGUUGUCACUCAGACGUGCCAACCCUGGGACUUCAGUGAGCAGAGGGGGAUCCCAAGAGAAGCCCGCUCCUAGAUCCUGAGGCGUGCUGAGAGCUGAGGAUGACAUACUUGGAUCCUGAGAGGCAGGGCCGGAGCCAGGGAGAUACCUAGGCUCCCUGUGGAAACACAGCUAAGACCUAGGAAACAAAGCCUUUCGUAGGGAACAAGGGGCCUCUGGCACUGGAAACAAAGCCUGACACCACCAAAGACUGGGGAACAGCGCCAUCUCCUGGCUGCCUGCGGCUAUGACCCGCCUUCCCAGGCGGAACCGCGGGGUUUAAGAAGACCGUCCCUUGUGCCUGGCCUUUUAGCAACCUGGAAUAAAAAUUUUA